rnacentral:ncRNA from 1 species
GAGUAGAAAUGGCGCGUCAAGUACCGGUCGGAUGGGAGGUUGCCGCCGGGCGAAGGAGUUUCUCCGCGGUGCCAUUUCGCAUCCGCUA